rnacentral:rRNA from 1 species
UACGUAGGGUGCAAGCGUUAAUCGGAAUUACUGGGCGUAAAGCGUGCGCAGGCGGUUUUGUAAGUCAGAUGUGAAAUCCCCGGGCUUAACCUGGGAACUGCGUUUGAAACUACAAGGCUAGAGUGUGGCAGAGGGGGGUGGAAUUCCACGUGUAGCAGUGAAAUGCGUAGAUAUUGCUCGGAAGGCCGGAGCCGAAGGGGCCCCACUGGUACGUAACUGACGCUGAGGCACGAAAGCGUGGGGAGCAAACAGG